rnacentral:lncRNA from 1 species
CUUUUUCCUCUCUCUUUUGCGUCGUCCUCUUCUUUUUUUUUGGCUUGACUCUCGAUGAGGGCGCGCUCGCGCUCUUUUCGUUUCCCAUCGAUAUCGCCUUUUCGAGCAACGGCAUCGCUCUGCCUGUCGCCGCCAAUGCCCGCAACCCACAAAGAACCAACUAGCACGCCGUGGACGAGUUCCUAAGCGACGGAUACAUAUAGUAGACCUGCCGGAAAUUGACGACGAAAAAAGCGUGGCGCCAAGGCCGGCCCUAAUAAUGACCAACACAAGGACGAGAGCCCGCCGACUCCGCGGGAAAGAUGGCCGUGACCAACGACAACAACGAUGCCAGCAAAAUGCAACGCCCUUUUGUCGUCCCUUUUUGCACUCUCCUUUUUAUCCGGUUUUUUAAUUUAAAAAAAAUCGUGUCUGUAUUUAUCCAUAUUUUUUAGUGAAUAAAUCCGGGCGCCUCGUGGCGGCCUGCCAGGUCGCACUGUCGCCGCUGCGCGGGCGAGUCGGGGCUCUUUACGCGCGCCG